GAAUGUGAGGCAAUCUGGCUGCAUCAUCUGUAACCCCAUUAUAGCGAGUGUUGAUUUGACUGAUCUGGCCAGCUAGGCUGGUGUCCCCUCCCUCCCUCACUGCUCCACGUACAUCCCUCCCAAAGCUGUGACCUCAGUCGAAGAGGAUGAACACCCUGAGAGAGGAGGACCAUUUCCUCGGUCAAGGGUAUACGAGUAGCUGGCUCCCCUGCUAGAAUCUCCAAACAAGGUUUCCAUGUCCAUAUUCAUGUUGAGAUCUGACUGGUUCUUGUUAUGAUUGCUGACAGUCAACUGAAGCCUACAAAUUUUGGAUAUUGUAUGAGUCUGGUUCUUAUUUAAAGCUUC
ensembl:misc_RNA 7SK 7SK RNA